AGACGCCGCGUUCGGAAUAAUAAUAAUAAUUCUUCGGGACAGAUAAAUUUAUAGGUGAAUCGUGUUCGCGCUAGGAAAAGUCAAUUGCUCGAGUGUCGGUCGUUUUUUAGGGUGAGCGGAAUGGCGGAGGGUUUUAUUUCGAAUCGUUCUUCCGUUCCAGGAGAUCAUAAAGUUACUCUAGCUUCAUAAGAAAGAACAAUCCGGAGUAAUGCGAGGGCAAAACGUGCCCAAAGGGAAUGUACGUGAUGUCAUUUUGAAACGACACCACGAUUGACGAAAGAGAAUAACAAGGAAGAAUCGAGCGAUUCUUAUUGUUUUCGUUUAAUUCAAAACGAUUCGGAAACUCUUCGGUUAUCUCAUCGUUAACGACAAUAAAAAUAAUAUAACGGAGGUAUAGGGAGAAUUUUUGCGAUGAAAAUAAUGAGUUAACCACGGAAACGAGAAGCUCGUUAGUUAUCGGAACAGCUGUGCAAGCCUCCUCGUUAUUCCGUGUUUACCGUAACAUAUUUUAUGGCUGCUUUAAGCAUCCCUCCUUCCGAUGCUGGAAUGUUUCUCCAAUGGAAUACAGGCCUUCCCGCAAUGUAUAAUAGUUGAUAAUUUCAUGACGAGAUUGUGAAACGUCGACGUUCCACGAUCGCGAACAUUCGUAACGUAUUUCGCGCUCUCCGUGAAUGCAAGACUUCGCUUAAACGCAUGUCACGUAUUGAUUGUAAAAUGGAAAUACAUACAGAGUGGUUCGUGAGGAUCUUCGAACUGUAAUCGUUGGCGAGAAGCGAGGAAAAUUUCGCAAUGCGACGCGUUACGCAAAUCAUUUUCAAGAGUAUUGUAACGCGUGAGAUAGAGUCAGCCACGAUUUGAAAACUGGGAAAACUAUGAUAGAAGUUAUGCAGGUUUUGAAGCAGCACGUGCACAACACAUUAAUUGUUCAUAAUGCACUCGCCUGUUAUCUCUACUUGUUUGCUGUACAGACUGCUUUUAAUUACUACAACCUUUUCACAUGGUAUUACAUAAAAAAGGCGGACGAAUUUUUAAGUUUUCAAUUUUACUUUAUUUCGACAUGUUAACGCUUGUCGAGAAUGAAAGCAACAACCGAACAGACUUUAAGGAGGCCAAGAUAACAGCGAUAAAAGAUAAACGUCGAUUUGUAAGUCAGUGGCACGUUCAUCAUUUGUGCAAAAAGAAAGGAAUAAGCAGAGAUCAUAUGGAAGACCAUGUUCCUACGUUAGUGAAAACAGAGAAAAUGGUUGAACACUACGAACGAACGCUAUUGAUAACCAUUGCAUAUGAAAUCACUUCAGAUAAUAAUUCAUUUUUUAAUUUAUAUUGCAUGACGUCGCAAGGUUAAAGUACAACAUCGUUUAGUCUUUUACUUUUAUCAACAGUUUGCACGUGAUGUUACCGAAAGGAAUGUCUUAUUUCAUGAUUGCUCCUGAAUUCCUGCUUCAACAACAAACAUCGUGUAAUAAGAUGAUCACGCGUCUGGAUCAUUUUCAUUGCACGUCAGCGAUAAAUCAAUGAAAAAUACAUGAAACAUGAUCGAAUUAUUGGUUAGCGAAAAAGCCUAUUCGUGGUUCGUGUCGAAGAUAAAACCUCAGUCUUUUUGAAUUCGUUCUAAUAUCGUUACAAGGUAAUUUUAAAAACUUUCAUUUCUUUCUCUUCUGUACCUCCUGUAGUAUAUUAGAUAAUAAAAAUGAAUUAUUAAAAAGUUUCAAGUACACCCGUAAUCUCUGGAUAAAUGAAAGCUGUCUGAACGAGUUGACUCCUUAUGUUGACCCUCGCAGAAAAUCUUUAUCGCGUUCAUUUUAUUCACACUUUCUGAAUUAAUUUUCUUCAUUUUCGAGGUCGUGUAUGCACGUCUAAUGCAGUGGAAAGAUUAAUCGAACACCACCCACGAUUUUCUUUUCUCGAUGCUGCCAAGAGGAUUUAAAAUCCAGAGGAGAAAAAUAAAUUCCAGAAUCGAGGUUUUAUCGAAAUCUUCAGAGGCAUACUUGCUAUUUCGAUUCAUCCUCGAUCGAAACCUCCUCGAGGCGAACGGACAGGGUUGUUCCUGCGCUCUGAUCGAUGGAUCAAACAACGAUGGUCUUCAUGGUCGCGAAGACGAUCGAACGAGCAAAUUGAACGGUAGGCGUGAAUACACACGUUGUACGCUCUUUGGCAAACGAACAGGGCUGUUCCCACUAGCGCGUCACUGUCGCGCUUGUCACUCGAUUACACGCACGCACGUUUACGCACGUCUAAGCACCGCGAUGAUCGCCGAUCGACUGUUUACCAGCUGACUGACAGUGGUCUUUGCCUUUCGAAGGUCGUCCAUCCUGGAAUCGGCUGGCAGUCGUGCACGGCAACCCGUCCAGUCAUCGCGCAAUCCGCUCGCUGGACUCUCCUAUCGUCCACGGUUGCUCGGUAAAUACACGCUACCUACACGUCCACGUUGAUAACGAAACUCCACCCAGAUAAUAUUAGGAUGCCCUGUGCUGUCCGGACGACGCGACACACGCCUGAUAACGCUUCAAACGAACUUUCAUUUCACCUUCUGUCCGCUUGAUUUUUCCUCCUCUCCUCGUUUCGGCCACCGGGCUGCCGAUAAAACUUGUAGCUUUUUCUUCUUUUUCAUUAUUCAAGUUUACGUAUCAUUGAAACCGCCUCCAAAAGAAGAUAUGAAUGUUGUGGAGGAAAUAUUGAAUCGAAUGAGAGUCUCGAGUGAAGAUUCAAUUAUUUCUUCCAUUUUUUUUAUUAUUCCACUUUAUAAAUCUUUGAAACGUAUCAAAUGUUUGUUCGUUUGUAUGUUUCUUGAAUUGUAUUUGCUUAGCUAUGUCGGAAUGACGUACUGUGUCAACACCGGUUUGUGUCUGAUAGUGAAAAUGACGUGUACUCUGUGCCGCAUGACUCCAUAAAAUCAUUAUCGUUGCUUUUCAUUUACAUAUAUCAAGAAAUGUUACUGAAUUACUUCUGGUGAUAUUUUUAGAUUUCUUUUUGUUUAUUUAAUAAUUGCAGGGAGAGGGUUUAAUGAUUUCCAAAAAUGCAAGUCACACUCGUUUUUUAAACUGAUUAAUGUAACAAAGGCGACUGGAGUUUCGACUACAAUUGAUCAUCAACGGUUCGAUAUCGAAGAAUGUUUAGAUUUGAAGCAAUAACUGGUGUUUUAUUUUAUUUCAGUGUCCAACAUCGGUCCACGAUUCCAAAAAUUGUACUAAAGAUCGAAAUCUUCUUGCAAUAUCCUUCUAUCAUCCCUUUAUUCGGCACAGGAGAUCGGCAGAUCAGAGCGGGAAGAAAAUCGAGGCCGGAUUCUAUGGGCGUGUAACGCAAGGGGGCGAAGAAAGAUUCGGCCUAGCAGUUUCGUGAUAUUCAAGAAGGGGGUUGUAAAACUACCAUCAUUCUCCGGAGGAAGGGUCGGAAGCUGAAGGCGGAGAGAUUGUUCUGCUUGGAUAUAGGUCGUUGCCCUACCUCGACGCGUGGAAAAUGCUUCCAUCGCAGAAUUCUCCACACGUUUUAUUGUCCAAGGGAUGAAUAAAAGAACAGUAAAAUCGCA